rnacentral:misc_RNA from 1 species
CCUUUUUCUCUACCUCAGUGUCACCCUUUCCUAGAGUCGAUUAGCCGACCAUGGCCACCGCCUUUCCCUUAAGUCUCUGGCUUAUUGUUUCUGCUAAUCUUCUGCCUCUUUUGCUUAUUAUUGCUACUAUUCCAGCUGGAUCCUUUGCAAUACGACCUUAUCCAUCUCAAUCCGUCUUCACCCAACCCAGCGAUCUGACGAACAACCUCCACGGCAGCGUCGCCGAGGGAUUUGAACGGCGAUGGGGCAACAGAAGCGGCAGAAGAUUAGCAGAAACAAUAAGCCANNNAUACCGAAGGAAUACUGAGCAAGGUAGAAGGUGGUUCAUGACCAUGAGAAGACUUUUGACCGGCCCAGGUCAUACUUCACCCCGUAAUGGCACACACGGGCGCUAGUGAAUAGCGAUGUUUCAUUUAAGGGCAACUACGUACUUUCGUUUUUUUCAGUUAAGG